GAUGAAGAACGUAGCGAAAUGCGAUACUUGGUGUGAAUUGCAGAAUCCCGUGAACCAUCGAGUCUUUGAACGCAAGUUGCGCCCGAAGCCAUUAGGCCGAGGGCACGCCUGCCUGGGCGUCACACGUCGUUGCCCCCCCAUCUACUCCUUCGGGAUUGCGGGGGGCGGAUGAUGGCCUCUCGUGCGCCUCGUCGCGCGGUUGGCCUAAAUGCCAAGUCCUCGGCGACGCACGCCACGACAAUCGGUGGUUGCGAAACCUCGGUUGCCUGUCGUGUGCGGUCGUCGCGCAUCGAGGGCUCGAAAAAAUUGCCGGGCUUCGGCUCGACUUUCAACGCGACCCCAUGUCAGGCGGGGUUACCCGCUGAAUUUAAGCAUAUCAAUAAGCGGAGGA
rnacentral:misc_RNA from 1 species